rnacentral:rRNA from 1 species
AUACGUAGGUGGCGAGCGUUGUCCGGAAUUACUGGGCGUAAAGGGCGCGUAGGCGGCCUGUCAAGUCAGAUGUGAAAUCCCCGGGCUUAACCCGGGAACUGCAUUUGAAACUGACGGGCUUGAGGGCAGGAGAGGAAAGCGGAACUCCCAGUGUAGCGGUGAAAUGCGUAGAUAUUGGGAGGAACACCAGUGGCGAAGGCGGCUUUCUGGGCUGUCACUGACGCUGAGGCGCGAAAGCCAGGGGAGCGAACGGGAUUAGAUACCCGGGUAGUCCUGGCCGUAAACGAUGUGGACUUGGUGUUGGGAUGGCUCCGAGCUGCCCCAGUGCCGAAGGGAAGCUGUUAAGUCCACCGCCUGGGAGGUACGGUCGCAAGGCUGAA